UUUUUUUUUUGCCCUGAGAUGGCAAAAGUGUGCAAUUGUUUUUCUAUUGGAAAAAGAAAUGUAGACUAUGCUAAAAUAUAUCAGAUGUAUGGCUUGAAUGGGAAUUUAAAGUUGGUUAGUCAGGUGUUGACCAAAACAUUCCAUCAGUUUUCAGGUAACAUGAUUGUGGAUGAAGCUGUAAGGUAUUAUGAUUGUGGAUUGUAAGAAGUGAGCUGCCUGUCUGUAUGGUACAAAAUGUGUCUCUAGAUUCUUAAGAUAUUACUAGCAUGUGUUGUGACAGAAAACCUGUGAGCACUUUGAUAGAACUCUCAUCUCAUUUUUUUGUAUUGUUAAUCUUUCAGUUUUACUGUGAAAAUAUUUCUACAUCCAUUUCUAGUGUUUAUUAUGUAAUAUUUCAAGUAUAUGUCAUAAUAAUCUUGUCUUGCUGGUGUAUACUCUGAACCAAAUGUCUAGACUAUGUCAAAACUUGAAAUCUAUCUGUGAUGUCACACAUAUAUAUUUUUUUAUACUAAGAAUUUAUCUCUUUGUUUUUACUAAAUAAAGAUUUUUGUUUUCAUCUAAU